GGCCCGUUCGUCUAUCGGUCAGGACGGCACCCUUUCACGGUGCAGAGAGGGGUUCGAUUCCCCUACGGGCUA
rnacentral:tRNA from 1 species